rnacentral:rRNA from 1 species
CCUACGGGGAGCAGCAGUGAGGAAUAUUGGUCAAUGGACGAAAGUCUGAACCAGCCAAGCCGCGUGAAGGAUGACUGCCCUAUGGGUUGUAAACUUCUUUUAUAUGGGAAUAAAAUGUUCCACGUGUGGGAUUUUGUAUGUACCAUAUGAAUAAGAAUCGGCUAACUCCGUGCCAGCAGCCGCGGUAAUACGGAGGAUCCGAGCGUUAUCCGGAUUUAUUGGGUUUAAAGGGAGCGUAGGUGGAUUGUUAAGUCAGUUGUGAAAGUUUGCGGCUCAACCGUAAAAUUGCAGUUGAAACUGGCAGUCUUGAGUACAGGAGAGGUGGGCGGAAUUCGUGGUGUAGCGGUGAAAUGCUUAGAUAUCACGAAGAACUCCGAUUGCGAAGGCAGCUUACUGGACUGCAACUGACACUGAGGCACGAAAGUGUGGGUAUCAAACAGGAUUAGAUACCCGAGUAGUC